AUAUGAUGCACCAUGUAUCUCUCUCUAUCGAAAUUGGGUGAACUUGACCAUGUGUCAUUUCGUAAUGCUUUUAUUGGGAUAACAUAGAUCUCAAAAAGUCAAUGUGAGGCACAAUCCAUGCACUAGCAAUAAGGCAUCUAAGCAUUAUUUGACAUUAACAAAGGUUCACUAUUUAGUAGAAUUCAUUAUUACAGGCAAACCAACGUAAAUGCGUAUGCAAGAGUACGGUCGAACGUGUUCUUGGCCAGUUGACCUUCCACUCUUCACUUCACAUUGUUGUAUACCCUUCAAUACUAAUACUUACUACUUGUUGUAUCAUAUCAAAAUAAUAUUGUAUUUAGGACGCGUUGUUGAGUAUGGAUUCGUGUGGGACCCAUUUUGUCUUAAAAUAUAAUUAUGUCGGCCAGAAUUUCUUACAUGCUGCUUGUCUUAAAAAUAACAUGUGCACAACUGCACAGGUAUAAUGUACAACUGAUUGUUAGUUUCUUAGAGACGGUUGUCUCCAUUGAAGUCCAUUGUUACAUAUGUGUAACAAUAAUUUAAUUUCCAUCUUUCAAAACUUGGACCCUAACUCAUUGUUGAUAAACUCUGACUGCAUAAAUGUUUCAAAUGAAGUGACUAUAAAGUGAAUGGGGGGAGUAGGAGGGGUACAUGAUAAUAGGUCCCAGGAGGUUGUUGGUGUUCUCUUAUCAAUCGUUAUGAAGAUUGAGGAUACUUGAGGAAA